rnacentral:snoRNA from 1 species
AGCCAAUGAGGCAGCUUUACCAUCUGAAACUGUGCUGUUGACAAUUCUUCGGAUGGUCUUCAAAGUUCUCUGAUUGCU